rnacentral:rRNA from 1 species
UAACCUGGUUGAUCCUGCCAGUAGUCAUAUGCUUGUCUCAAAGAUUAAGCCAUGCAUGUCUAAGUACGAACUAAGUGAUGGUGAAACUGCAAAUGGCUCAAUACAACGGUUAUGAUGCACCCGGGAGUUCCGAUGGAUAUUUCCAGUAACACUAGAGCUAAUACAUGUAACUGCGUUUAUUAGUUUCCAACAAUCUGUCGCUGAGUCAUGGUAAACGGUUGAUCGACUCGACGUCCCGGAGCAGUUUCCGCCCCAUCAGCUUCGAUGGUUGGGUAUUGGCCUACCAUUGCAACAACGGGUGACGAGGAAUUAGGGUUUGAUUUCGGAGAGGGAGCCUGAGAAACGGCUACCACAUCUACGGAUGGCAGCAGGCGCGCAAAUUACCCAAUGCAGACACUGUGAGGUAGUGACGAGAAAUAAUAAAGCGGGGCUUUAGUCUUGCUAUUAUAAUGAGGAAUAACCAAAGGCCAUUCCUAUUAGCAACUGAUGGGAAAGUCUGGUGCCAGCAGCCGCGGUAAUACCAGCGUCAGUAGCAUAUAUUAAAAUUGUUGCAGUUAAAACGUCCGUAGUCUGUACGUCGUCCGAGACUUUACUACAGCUCUGCAUGUUCUUCAUUGAGCGCGCCCUGUUUGUAGUUGCUCCCUUGAUCAAAAUAGAGUGUUCAAGGUAGGCCAAGUCUUCAUAUUUUCACAUGGAAUUGGGUGAAGGGACUCAAGAGCUUGAGUUUCUCGUCUUAGGAUCACCUGGGGUCAUUCGUACUCGUCCGCGAGAGGUGAAAUUCUUGACCAGGUCAAGACAUGGGCGUGAUUGACAGGCUGAUGACCUUUCUCGAUUCCUUGGGUGGUGGUGCAUGGUCGCACUUAGUUGGUGCAGUGAUUUGUCAGGUUUAUUCCGGUAACGAACGAGACCUCGGCCUUGUAACUAGUUUACUGCUUACAGGGACAAUGUCGGCUACGUCAAGGAAGUUCGAGGCAAUUGCAGAUCUGUGAAUGCCCUUAGAUGUCCUGGGUCGCACGCGUGCUACAAUGACGCCACGAGCGAGUGUGCGUGACGGAACUCACGUGAAAUCAGCAAUCGGCGUCUUCAGGGACAGUCUCUUGUAACUGUGGGACUCGAACUAGGAAUGUCUCGUAAGCACAAGUCAACAUCUUGUGUUGAUUACGUCCCUGCUCUUUGUACACACCGCCCGUCGCUCCUACCGAUCGAGUGUUUAGAUGAAUUUGACGGACUAGCGGAAGUCAAAUGAAUCUGAUCACUUAGAGGAAGGAGAAGUCGUAACAAGGUUUCCGUAGGUGAACCUGCAGAAGGAUC